GUGGUCACACAGGUUGAGGGUGACGCCAUGCCUCUGCCACUGGAGAUGGACAACAACAAAGCCGAGCUGACGGCCAGUGAGAUCCGUACGGAAAAGGAGGAGACAGAUAGGGAUAUGAAGUGGGGAAGAAGAGAUGGUGAGGGAUUACGAAGAAAUGAACUCUGACUUCGUGCUGUAGGAUCACAUCCACAACGACCUCUUCUAAGCUAGCUACUACCUCCCCAAGAAAUGCAACAUCAAGGUUUUGCAGCCUGGUUCAGAUCUUCCGCUCAUAGAGUUUAUUCUUCCACACAGUUUGUUUAUUUUUCAUGCGGGUAUGCAACAUACAUCACAUGUCAAGUUCCAAUGGUGUCAUCAAAGGCUUUAUUUACAUGUUUUUCUCAUUUGCUAGGACAGGUUGAUCCAGGAGAUGGAUGUUAUUUGUUCGUGCUUGUGCUUUUUAUUAAGUUGAUGUUUGGGCCUAGCCUCACCAAAACUUUCUAUAUUGCAGAUUCACUCCUUUCUAUAGGUAAGUCUAUUUCUUGUGCUUGCAAUGUAUUAUUAUUUUCCUUUCAUCUGGAUCUGGAUGUACGUCUAUGACAGCAUGGCUACCAAUUGAUGUGUUAAACUGAUACUUGCCACUGCCAUUAUAAUUCAGCAUGUGUUUUGUAGUUAAGAAGUUACAAGAGUAUUUAGAUGAAAUAAAUGGUAACCUUGAAAUAAAGCUCCCUACUCGUUGGUCCAGUGGAAAUCACUUUUGAUGGAGAUAUAAUGAAUGGGUGACAUGUAAUCUCGAGUCACGGGGCUUUAAAGCAUUGUGCAAAGCAACUGAGGAAAUAGUCAUGCAGAGCUAUAUUUCAUCAUUUCAAGUUCGCCCACUAUUAGGGAAUUACAGGUUUGAAACUAAUGUGGAUGUACACUUCUUUUUCUGCAAGGACUGUACUAAAGCAAAAUCACGAUGACACUUUUUGGAUGAAGGAUUUGAUGUUCAAACUGCUAG